rnacentral:rRNA from 1 species
UUGAACGCUGGCGGCAGGCCUCACACAUGCAAGUCAAGCGGAUGAAGGGAGCUUGCUCCUGGAUUCAGCGGCGGACGGGUGAGUAAUGCCUAGGAAUCUGCCUGGUAGUGGGGGAUAACGUCCGGAAACGGGCGCUAAUACCGCAUACGUCCUGAGGGAGAAAGUGGGGGAUCUUCGGACCUCACGCUAUCAGAUGAGCCUAGGUCGGAUUAGCUAGUUGGUGGGGUAAAGGCCUACCAAGGCGACGAUCCGUAACUGGUCUGAGAGGAUGAUCAGUCACACUGGAACUGAGACACGGUCCAGACUCCUACGGGAGGCAGCAGUGGGGAAUAUUGGACAAUGGGCGAAAGCCUGAUCCAGCCAUGCCGCGUGUGUGAAGAAGGUCUUCGGAUUGUAAAGCACUUUAAGUUGGGAGGAAGGGCAGUAAGUUAAUACCUUGCUGUUUUGACGUUACCAACAGAAUAAGCACCGGCUAACUUCGUG